AUACCUUUCUCGGCCUUUUGGCUAAGAUCAAGUGUAGUAUCUGUUCUUAUCAGUUUAAUAUCUGAUAUGUGGUCCAAUGGGCCACACGAUAUUAAAUUACUUUUUUGAGGGGGAGAGGCCACUUCAGUAGCUUGUUACUGGGCUUCUCGUGGGUCUCCUAUGCGUUGCACUACUGUAUAGGCUGGCGCACCCCAC
rfam:Cicer arietinum chromosome Ca6, whole genome shotgun sequence.